CCUCAAUAGGAUAGAGGAAUAUUUUCUAUUUGAGAGAAUUAACACUAUAAAUAUGUGAAUGAUGGAAAAUGUUAUUUGGCUUUUGCCCAUUGAAGAAAGUGGCUUUCAGCUCAUGGAAUGAAGUUGUCGCCCAUUGUAAAGAGAGGCCUUGCCAAUUGCUGCGGAUUUAGCUCUGCCCAUUGAUGAGGGGCUUUUGCCCAUUGCAAUGGAGAGAAGCUUCGGCCUAAGGUAGAAAAAGGAUAUAGAAUUCAAAAGGAAGAGAUUUUUGUCCAUUGGUGAAAGGCUCUUGCCCAUAUAGUUGAAGACAAUCGUUGUAAUAGUAAAUAUAUUGGAUUAUGUCUAGA
rnacentral:misc_RNA from 1 species